AUGGAAAAGGCGUAGUGUAAAAGAUGCCCGAAGGGUAGAGUUUCCUAAUUGCUUCCUCACUGUCUCCACCGCCUCUUUCUUCAAUAUGCUCUUCACAGGAGUUUUCAGGUCUCCUUCCUUAUCCUUAUGUUGUGGGUUAUCUAUGUUUAUCUCCUGCUCUUCUUCCCCCUCUUUGUUCGCAGUUCGCAAAAUGGUAUAUUCCGGUGGAUGCAAUGGACUCCAUGUCGAUUUCUCUGCCAAGUCCUGAGAUCUAUUGAUUGGAAAUUAUGUGAUUCCUAUCUGAAUCUGUCAACCAACUCAGCAAUCCUUCUUCAAAUCUCGCAUAACUAUGCUCUGCUGCUAAUUUCUUGCUCCCUCCCUUGAUGUGUUUCAUGGACUGUUAUCUUCCUUGUUUUAAUCCUUAGUGAGGGGAUUUCUGCUUUAUCCAUAUUCACAAUUCCUCUA